CCGCCGGCACCGGCGCACGGGUGAGUAACACGUAUGCAACCUGGCCGUGACAGAUGGAUAACCGGGAGAAAUCCCGCCUAAUACAACAUAAUGCCGGGAGGGGACAUCCCCUGCCGGCCAAAGGGGGCGACCCCGGUCAUGGAUGGGCAUGCGGCGCAUUAGGUAGUUGGUGGGGCAACGGCCCACCAAGCCGACGAUGCGUAGGGGUUCUGAGAGGAAGGUCCCCCACAUUGGAACUGAGACACGGUCCAAACUCCUACGGGAGGCAGCAG
rnacentral:rRNA from 1 species